rnacentral:rRNA from 1 species
GCGUUGUCCGGAUUCAUUGGGCGUAAAGAGCGCGCAGGCGGCUUGGUAAGUCGGAUGUGAAAACCCGAGGCUCAACCUCGGGCGUGCAUCCGAAACUGCUCGGCUAGAGGUAGGUAGGGGAGAUCGGAAUUCCUGGAGUAGCGGUGAAAUGCGCAGAUAUCAGGAGGAACACCGGUGGCGAAGGCGGAUCUCUGGGCCUUACCUGACGCUCAGGCGCGAAAGCUAGGGGAGCGAACUGG